rnacentral:lncRNA from 10 species
UGAAAGGGCUGAAAGACAACUUGCUACCCAUAUUUCUAUAUUCAAUGAAAGGCUCUUCCAGAAUGAAGACAAAAUGAUGACAUUCAGAGCUAAACAAAAACUAACAGAACUCAUCACCAGAAGACUCAUACUUGAAGAAAUGUUACAGAAAGUUACUCAUGUCGAAGAAAAAUGAUAUCAGAUGGAAAAUUUAGAUGUUCUAGAAGGAAUGAAGAACACUGAAAAUGGUAAAUAGAUAUAAUGCGUAUGACAACUAAAGAAUGAAGGAUGAAGAGAGAAGAGGUGGCUGCUGGGUAAG